rnacentral:lncRNA from 1 species
CAAAUCUGAAGUUGAGCCAGGGAAAGUAGAGUGUUCAACUGCAAUUAAACUUUGUAGGCACCCUUCCCAGUUGUUUGAGCUUCGGGGUCUCCCCUCAAUUUCCUAAGAAAAACAACAUGCAAGUUAAAAACAAAAAUGAAACCGUAGUUAGGGGCAAAGUAACCUGUGAAAUUAGGGCUAACAUGAUCGGUGGUAUCUCUAAAUGGUAGCUCCAUUUAGAGAAUGAUCUCAGAGGCAGUUUCAGAAGGGUUUGGAUCAGAGCAGAGGAGGAGAUCAUGAGUGCAAGACUACAAACUAUGGCAUGAAGAGUACAGUAGAGAAGAGAGGAGUCAUGGAUGAGGGAGAGCCUUCAGCCAGGAAAGAAUCCAUGAAGGACGAGGGAAAGCGUGUCCAGCAGUUGAGGAGACAGAGACUCGCUAUUUAGGCUGUAGUGCAGUGGCACAGUCUUGGCUCACUGCAACCUCUGCCUCCCGGAUUCAAGUGAUUCUCCUGCCUUGGCCU